AUACCAAAUGUCACCACAGUAGUACCAGUAUCACCUUUGUCUGCACAGAGCCAACGCUCGCAGUGUAAUAAUGGGUUGAUGGUGUUUGUGUCGGUGUGGCUGUUUGAGGUCAUCGUCCUGGUGUCGCUGUUGGUCGGAGCGUUUUACAUCUACACCAGAAUCUACAGGAAGCUGAAAGCAGCUGAGAGUAAGGAAAAAGAGGGGGAGGAGCCUCUGUAGACCAACCAGAACUAAGACGAGGAGAAGAACAUCCACACAGUACCAGAGAAACCACCUGAGCCAACCAGUCUGACACAUCUACAGAAGUCUGGAGUUUCCACUGAAGAGAAUGUACAGAUUUUCAACAUCUUGAUCUUUCUGAGUCUGAGAUCCUGCAGGCAAGAUGGAUUGAACAUAUUGCCAAAACAGUUACAUAACUUGUUUUUUACUUGUGAGUUCAAAUGUUCAGUUCUUAGAAAUGUUUAAUACUGUGUUUUCUAUUUAAAUUACAUCAGCACCUUAGAAAAUGGGUGUCUGCAAAGUUUG